UGUGUGUAACAGGUGUGUAAAGAUUUAGCACUCGUCCAUCUUUUUUCCUUGCGAGCAUGGCUUACACACUUUCGAAGUGCGCAUGCUCUGUUUUGAAUGACGUAAUUUGUGAUGUCAUCAUAAUGGAGUUUUCCAGGGAAAGAAGUUGGCCCAUCUGAGGUAAGUAAACACGGUUGAAAGAAAAUUUUUGCAUAUUAACAAUGAGUUUUUUAUUAGAUAGACUGAUUAAAUGGUGUUUCAUACCGAUCGUGUUAUGUACAAGCGACAGAGUACCCGAGUUACUGAAAAUUCCGAUGAUGAAAGUGAUAUAUCUAGUACGUGAACUGUUUGGGUUUUUUUCUAAAAUUUAAUCUUUGCAGUUAAUGUACUCUGUAUACUAAAAAUUCAUAUUGAUUUUGGAUAGAAUUUCACAUUUAAAAACAAAUAGAUAUGCGCCAAGUCCUUAGGAAUCAACCCCACCCCCACCCCUCCACACGGGACUUUUUUUUUUGGAUGAUUGGACCGUAUCCCCCUUUUCAUCUGUCUCCCUACUUUGAAGUUUUUUUUCCCAACGCCAUGACAUAAAUAGAUAAAUAAAUAAAAUGCAAAAAUAAAAACGAAAGAUAUAUAUGUAUUCGGAUUGGCAUGUUCCACUUUGUCCGGGUUGAAAUCCCCGAGGAUGCAAAUGUACAUUACGCCGCACUGUUUGCAGUACGUACAUGGUACAGGUGUACCGCAUAGUGGUCUUCAACUUUUAAUCUCCAAGAAGGAAAUGUAAUUAAAAGAUGAAUAAAGUAUCCCUAAGAAUACCAGAAGAAAGGCUAUGUGUUGAGAAAAACAGCCCUUCCUCAGUACCUCAGAACUAGAUGAUAGCCCUUAAUUGUUACUUUAUACUGAAUAUGACACAGUAUAGAAGAUCUGAUCAUGAAGAAGUAACACCAUUGAUACACUUGCCAACUUCCAAAAUUACUUUCUGAUAGUAUGACAAGAUUAGAAGAUAUCAUGGUGUAGUCAUGACACAAACUGCAAAUCAAAGAAUUAAUUGUCUUCCCCAGAGGAUGAACAGAGCACGAUGGCUUCACAUGGAUAACAUUUCCUUUCGAGUUUUGAAAUUAAUUUGUCAGAAUGUUAUGCAUCAUUAUCAACAGAAAAGAACUUCAUAGGUAGACCAAAGCUGACAUGGGAUGAGAUCCUAGAACAAGACCUAGAGUUUACAGGAUUGGAUAGGAUCAAUCCACUGGGUCGCCAAGUGUGGAAGUACAAACUUCAACCUCGACAGGACAGCCAGGCCUCACCCUUGCAAAAAGAUUAAUUUGGCCUGGAUAGUCAAAAUGAGUGAUGAUGAUUGAUAUCAAGGUCUGACACUGGAAGCUCAGUAAGGGUAGAUGCUGGCAAUGGAGCUGUUUAGCAAUAAAACAAACAAGUUUAACAUUAAACAUGUUUGUAUACUUUUUUGGCUCACCUGAGCCAAAGGCUCAAGUGAGCUUUUCUGAUCACCUUUGCCUGUCGUCUGUCUGUUCAUAAACUUUUCACAUUUUCAUUUUCUUCUCCAGAGUGAACCACUGGGCCAGUUUCAAUCAAACUUGGUAUGCAUCAUCAAUAGAUAAAGGGUAUUCAAGUUUGUUCAUAUAAAGGGUCAUGCACCCUUCAAAAAGGAAAUAAUCAUGGAAAUGCAAAAAUAGGGUGGGGUCAUUUAAAAAACCUUUUCAAGAACCACUGGACCAGGAAAGUUGAAUUCACACGAAAGGUUCCUGUUUUGUGCAAAUCAUGGUCUCUGGGGGUAGGGUGGGGUCACAAUAGAGAAUCAAAGUUUUACAUUCAUAUAUAGUGCAUAUUCAAGUUUGUAAAAAGCUCACAGGGGUAGGGUGGGGGUCACAAUAGGGGAUUUAAGUUUUACAUGUGAAAUAUAUACAAGGAAAAUCUUUUAAAAUCUUCUCCUCAAAAACUAGAUGCAGAACCGUAGCUCUUUGAAAAGAGAGCUUCAGAUGAACCCCUUAUAAAAAAAACUUCAAUUUAUGGCAGAGAAAAAAAGUGCAUGUUUAAGUCCCUCUAUCACUGCAUUCCUGCAUCGCUGUCUCAUGAAUUUAAUAUUAAAUAAUUCCCAACAUAUUUUCCCACUAUACUUGUUUCCAAACAUACUUUCAAAUAUUUUCUAAACCCACAUAUAACCCCAAAACAGCUUCAAGUGAUUUCAAUUUCUUUGUUGAUGUAGCCAUGUUAAGUAGCCAGUCGAUUUGAACCCCAGUUCAUUUCCAUACUCAUACUCAUUUUGAAACAUAAUGUUUGUGUGAACUAAUAUCCUCACAAAUAUUUUUAGUGAAAUAUUUUGGAUGAAAUCAUCCCAGUUGGGUUAAAUACUUAUUAUUCAAAUACUGUAGGUUUGAAUAUUGAACUAAUCUCACAGCUUUCUUAAGUUUGGUCCCCAUCCCCACCAGUCUGUUUUUACGCUUAACUAUUGAAAUGAAGUGUAAGGGAUCAGACUAGGCUUUUAUAGCAUUAUCAAUUUUCAAAAGCUUUAGAAAAAUUAUACAAUUUUAGGUCACUUGAGUAAACUCAGAUGACAUAUUGCUAUUGAUCUGCAUCUGUUGUAGUCCAUCGACAUUAACAAUUGAACAUUUUUAACUAAAUUCUAUAACUGAAAGAUGAAGAUACCGCACAGCGAUCAAUCUACGAUUCAAAUAACGGAAUUCUUUUCAAAUUUAGUAUGAAGCACACAAAUUUACAUUAAACCUUCUUGACAUAGUGCAUAUUCAAGUUUGUUAAAAUCAUUUCCCCGGGAGUUAUGGUGUGGUAACAAUAGGGGGUCAAAGUUUUAUAUGCUAGCUGAUAUAAAGGAAAAUUCUUUAAAGAUAUCUCUUGAACUAUUUAAGCUAGGGCUUUCAUAUCUUGUAUAUACAAUUUUUAUGGCAAAACAAAUCUGACCUAUUCAGUAUGUCCUGAACUACAUUGUGUUUAAGGUAGAUCUUUCAUAUAUAUUAUAUAUUAUGAAUUUCUUAUGAUAAAACCUUUCAUCUUGUUGAGGAGCCUCUCACCUCUGGUUGGCGCGGGUUUGAAUCCUGCUCGCACCGGUAAUUGAGAAAGUUUCCCAGUUUACUCUCGGAAGGUCGGUGGUCUCUUCCCAGGUACAUUGUAUCUGGGUUCUCUCUUCCACCAAUAAAAACUGGGCACCACCAGAUAACUGAAAAAUUGUUGAGUGUGGCGGAAAACAGUUAAAACAAUCAAUCAUAUUAUGUUAUUUGACCUUGUGACCCUGAACUCUGAGUUUGACAUACUUUUAAGAAAGUAUAACGUAUUAAGUAUAUCCAGGACUAUUUUAGAUAGGGCUUUUAUGUUUUGUAUAUUGAUUACUUAUGGCAAGGUCUUUCAUAUCAUACCAAGACCUACGACUUCUUACCUUGGUCUUAUCCAGAACAGCAAUAUCAUGCUAGUCAUAUCUUUGUCUUAUAUGAUUUCAUUUUAGUAAUGUUGUGUUCUUUAGAGCUAGGUUUGGGUCACAUUAUUCAUGAGAAUAAAGAUUGAUAAAAUAGCAUUUAAAAAUCAAAACAGCAGGGCCAAGAUGACUCAGGUGAGCAAUGUGGCCCAUGGGCCUCUUGUUGAUUUUGAUAUUUCUACCUAUAUCAUUUGUAUGAGAAAUGGAACUCCUUUUUUUCUUUUACAAAUACAUGUAUUAUCAUAUGGAUCCAUCUUUGUUGAUUAUUUAAUCAAAGGACAUAUUCAAUGUAUUAAAUGUAAAUUUAUGGAUAUGUCUGUGGUUGAAUUACUUAUGUAUGUAUGUAUACAUUUUUCUCGCACAUGCAAUUACAUAUAUGAUGUAUAUAUAUUUACUAAUUGUACAUGUAAUAUCCCCUGUUAUAUAAUAAAAUAUAUGACUGAGAAUAAAAGACCUGCUGUUUUCAUUGCUACCAUGAAACAUUAAAAGAUUAGAAUAAUUCAAAUAUCUUAAUGAAUUCUAUAAUAUAUGAAUUUGAUAUUUGUAUAUGAUUGCCUCACUGGCGUUCAAUGUGAACUUUGGUUUAUUGUUUCAGUUUGCUCGAUCUUUAUAUCAAAUUAAAAUUUAAGACAAAUAAGGAAUUAUUUCCGAAAUUGGUUAAUAUGGUACAUUGUAGUAAAAUAAUCAAGAGUUUAUUCAUAUGAGAUAGCUAAAUUUCACAUGGAUAACCAGUGACUGAUUCUUGAUUGUCAACAUUUUCACCGAACAGUUCAGAAAUUACCAUGGUACAUGUACAUACUAUUAGGGGAUCAUAAAAUUCCUUAAAGAGUGACAAAUUUUUAAAUAUCACCUUUUCAAGGAGAAAAAUCCUCUUACGUAUAUGAAUACUAUGAAGAGAUUAAAAGAGAGGUGGCUAGAUCACUUGUAUGGUGAGAUUCAUUUGUGGCAAGAACUGGUAUGAUGUCUUGAGUCAGAAAGCACUGGAAUCCACUAGGAAUAGUUUUAGAUCUAUGGAGUGCCAAAAUAACAAACUCAGAUAUUUGAAGAUAUCUUUAAUUAUUUGAAGAUAUUAUUAAUUCAUUUCAUGCACGCAACAUUGCAAUCAAAGAUCUCUUCAAAUAAUUAAUGAUAUCUUCAUUUGAAUUGAAUUAUUGAUAUCAUUAUUUAUUCCGCUGAAUUGAUGCACACAAUAAUUUAAUUGUUGCUCUCCUCAAAUGAAUUAUAAUUUAAUGAUACCAACAAUAGAAUUAAUGCAUGCUACAAUUCAAUUGAAGAGAGCAAUAAUUCAUUAAUGCUAACAUCACUUAAUGUGCGCAAUAAAUGGAUUAUUGCUCUCUUCUAUUGAAUUAAUGAUAUCAUUAAUUAAAUUGAUGCGUGCAAUAAUUAUGUUAGUGAGAGUAAUUAUCUAAUUGAGAUAUAAUCCUUAAUUAAUUCGACAUAUCCACAACUGAAUGAAUGAUUUCUUUAAUUGAAUUGUUGCUCUCUUUUUAAAAACAAAACAACGAUGUGCGCAUUAAUUACCUAUGAAAUAGCCCUGUAUAUAUAAUUAAAAAGAUCUAUUGAAUUAAAAGAGAUAAUCAAGUCAUUCAUACAGAGCUCUAAAUUAAUUUUUGCAAGCAAUAUUUCCACCACAUGGAUAUUAUUGGACUUCAAUUAUUUGAGCUUAUGUAAAACAUUAAGAUUUUAAAAAUCAUCCUGGUGAAUUUGUAUUACAAAAGUCAUGAGAGGACACGUCCAGUUUUUGAACAAAAACAGAAAGUAAUAUAUUCCCUUGAAUUUGGUCAUCCCUGUCCUCAGUGUGUUUCAGACGUGUUUAGUGGUGGUGGGGGUGGGGGUGGGGGGUCCAACACGUUUAGCGGAUAUUUAGUUGUUGGCAUGUCGCGGGAGCGAAACCAGGAAUUAUCCAUGGGAAGGACGUAAUGAGUGCCUAAAGCACGAAAUCUCUAAACAAAAAUAUCUAAGAUGAAGGAAAAUCGUGAUUUUGGGGGGUUUUCUAUUACAAUUUUGUCCUCAUAUUUCAAAGUGAGAUGAUAGUCAAAAUUGACAUAAUUUCCAUGUACAUAUCAUAAACAUGUAGAUAUUUUUGUAACAGUAUAUGAAGGAAUCUGGAGCAAAUCCUGAUUCUGAAGUUAUAUAAACUGGUGUUAUACACCGGAUUUUCAAACAAUUUAUGGUUUUUGCAACGUUUGAUUAAAGUUUUCUGUAAGGCCACAUCUAUGUAGUUACAUUUACACAGAAUGUUCAUGAAAAUGUUACCUUUUGGAGUGGAAUUAAGAUAUCGCGUAACAUUUUUUUUUUUACAAAGAUAUCUAAUUUUUAUCUAUAUCAAAAGUCAACAAAAAACUUAAAAGUAAUACAAAAAAUGUAUAUAAUUAUUAAUACUUGUUUUAGAUCUUUUAGGCACUGCAUUAUACAGAAUUUUGAUUUUAUUUAUCAUACUUUUUGGUUGAAUUACUACCGA